rnacentral:rRNA from 1 species
UAAUACGUAGGGACCAAGCGUUGUUCGGAUUUACUGGGCGUAAAGGGCGCGUAGGCGGCAAUUCAAGUCACUUGUGAAAUCUCUGAGCUUAACUCAGAACGGUCAAGUGAUACUGCUUUGCUAGAGUGCAGAAGGGGCAACCGGAAUUCUUGGUGUAGCGGUGAAAUGCGUAGAUAUCAAGAGGAACACCGGAGGUGAAGACGGGUUGCUGGGCUGACACUGACGCUGAGGCGCGAAAGCUAGGGUAGCAAACGGGAUUAGAUACCCCGGUAGUCCUAGCCCUAAACGAUGAAUACUUGGUGUCUGGAGUUUUAUUCUCCGGGUGCCGUCGCUAACGUUUUAAGUAUUCCGCCUGGGGAGUACGCACGCAAGUGUG